GACAGAGGGUGCAAACGUUGUUCGGAAUCACUGGGCGUAAAGCGCGUGUAGGCUGCUGCGCAAGUCGGAUGUGAAAUCCCCACGGCUCAACCAUGGAAGUGCAUUCGAAACUGCGUAGCUAGAGUUCUGGAGAGGAAGGCGGAAUACUCGGUGUAGAGGUGAAAAUUCGUAGAUAUCGAGUGGAACACCGGUGGCGAAGGCGGCCUCUGGACAGUGACUGACGCUGAAACGCGAAAAGCGUGGGGGAGCAAACAGGG
rnacentral:rRNA from 1 species